UAUUCAACAUUGAGUCUCUGGACCGCCAC
rnacentral:piRNA from 1 species